ensembl:lncRNA
CAGGCCUCAGCUCCCUCUAGCUCCUCCAAGGGCUGUGUUGGAUGUUUGUUCUACAAAGGUAGCCCCAGCUGGCAGAAGAGCUGACUUGGGCCUGACCCAAGCCGCCUCUUGUUUCCCUGGCUUCAGCCUGAAUGUAGCAGUAGGAAGCUUUCUUUGGGUCUCUGCUACUAACAGCCGCAGUUAUGGGAUAGGGCAAAUCCUGAGACGUGCCUGAUACAUGGGUAACUCCGUGGAAGCCUCAGGUCUCGGUUCUGAGUCAAGUCAGGAGGCGAGGCUCAUCCAGCAAGAGCCUGUGGUUAGGCUGCCACCUAGUGUUGAGCUGGGUGUACAGCAGAAAGGCCUCUACAGGGCACCCAACCUGAGGGGCUGACAGGCAAGAAAGAGGGAAAACCAGAAAAUCUGCAAAGAAGCCAGGCUCCUGAGGGGCCCCAACCACCCCAGACCAGACGGAAAAUGCAUUUCGGGCGAAGACAAACGAUGAAGUCAGCCUGCAGCCGGAGGCCAAGAAAACUAAAAGCGCACUUUUACAGGAAACAGCAAUGAAUUGAGGGCAGCUGUAUGGAUGUGAGAGUUGGACUGUGAAGAAGGCUGAGCGCUGAAGAAUUGAUGCUUUUGAACUGUGGUGUUGGAGAAGACUCUUGAGAGUCCCUUGGACUGCAAGGAGAUCCAACCAGUCCAUUCUGAAGGAGAUCAGCCCUGGGAUUUCUUUGGAAGGAAUGAUGCUAAAGCUGAAACUCCAGUACUUUGGCCACCUCAUGCGAAGAGUUGACUCACUGGCAAAGACUCUGAUGCUGGGAGGGAUUGGGGGCAGGAGGAGAAGGGGACAACAGAGGAUGAGAUGGCUGGAUGGCAUCACUGACUCGAUGGACGUGAGUCUGAGUGAACUCCGGGAGCUGGUGAUGGACAGAGAGGCCUGGUGUACCGUGAUUCAUGGGGUCGCAAAGAGUCGGACACGACUGAGCGACUGAUCUGAUCUGAUCUGAUCUGAUGCCUCUUCAAAGAUUUGCUACUUUUUGAGACUUUCAAGCAUGAAAAUGGUUUAUCCUCCCCUCUCAUAAUUGAUGGGGAGGCCAAAUAGGACAGAGUGACAUAACCAGCAAACAGAGCACCUUAAGACAACACACCCGUUAAAGUAACGUAACGAUCAAGGAAACAAGACUGCAAGCAGCUUGGGAAAUGGAGAGCAAAAGAAUUAGCUUCAUCAAGCCAUCAUUCUAGAGCAGGCUUGUUGUUUGGUGUGGCUGCGUUUUUGUGUAGGAAUUGUACAUAGCUGCAAGUGUCAUCCACAUGCCCACACUCUAACCUCCUUUCUCCACCUAACAUGAUGUCAUGAGCAUUUUUCUGUGUUGCUACAUAGUCUGUAUAAUUACUCUAAAUGACUGUACAAUAUUCCACUCAUUAUACUACUGCUGAAUAUUUAGGUUCCUUUUUUUUUUCCUUUGCUCAAUUUUCAUGAAUUAACAAAUGUAAGGUGUUUCCACCCAAGCUUGCAAAACGUAGACACAGAGUAGAUGCUUUUUGUCUUUUCCAUCUCUCUCCUUCCUGUGUAUCUUUGUCCCUGGGCUUUUCCUUGAGAUAAGUGUUCCUUAGGGUUCAGGGGUAUGACUCUCCACACAUACUGCUACCAUAUUGUUCCAUUAAUUACAAUGACAAUUUGAGAAAGCAGAGGUCUGCAAGUUUAACUAAUCUGCCCAGGGUCCCUGUCUGUUCUGUUUUCUUCUUUUCCCCCCAAGGUCUGCUCCAGUGUCUGGUGCAUAGAACGACUUCAAUAAACAUUUGCUGAAUGAA